rnacentral:lncRNA from 1 species
UUAAAUUAGGCUUUUAUUCUGAAAAAUGUAGUUGGUAACUCGUUGUGUUGCUAUUUGACUUGAUAGAAGAAGUUUACGGCAGGCGUUUCUGUGUGAAUGACAGUCGAGUGCGCGUGUGUCUGCGGGAUAUUACAAUAGCUUGUGUUUGGCGGUAGUUUAACAGCUAUCAGAAAGAAGUUGUUUCAAGCAGGACAGCGUCGGGCUUGGGAGUGAGACUCCCAUUAAACUAAGCAACCCCAGAUUGCUACAGAAGAGAGCUUUGAGCUUCCAGAAAGAAUUCACCUACGACGAAAAAGACGACCCAGCUAAAAGCAAAGAUAUAGAUGUUAGUCUCUUGGCCAAUCUCCCAAAGGUGAGUAAGGGUUUUCUUUUGCUUUAUUUUCUGCCUGCUUGCAAAUUGGUCCUCACCAUGUCAACCUUUUCAGGGAUUUUGAAAGUCACUGUUGUGCAACAGC